UCGAAGCCAACCGCAUGCCGGAUAACGCGAUGCACAACAGGUAAGAGUUCGACGCGUACUUAGCCUGGCUCGCGAGGAACUACCGCAGUGCCCUACGUCUGGCUUGGACGCUAACCGACAUACUGGAUGACCUGAUUGAGGUGGAGGAGCAGAACAAGUACGAUACAAGUACCCAUAGAGGUAGCACGGUCGGGAUGGGUCCGGUUCGAGACAAAGUGGUGAGUAUGGGUUCUAUUUACUCGUUUUCCAAUUUCUGUACUUCGUGCUUAUAACUUCUCCUACAGACACGGGAGCUGAUCAGGACAGUCAACGAUGCGGGCGUGGCACUUGGCAUGCCCCCUAGCUCGCAACAAGAGAGCAGCAUUCUUCGGAAUGCAUUACAGACUCUAUGACAGCGAUGCAGAAGUUGGCGGCAUGUCUGGGAUGCAGGGCCGACGAUGCCUUCGAACCACCUCGACGGGCUGAGCAGGGGACAAGUCGAGGAGUGGCUCAAGAGGGUGUACAAGAGGGAGAGGAGGAGGAAGAAAGAGAGGAGGAGGAAGAGGAGGAGCAAGUGGAGCUCGGUCCCUCCUAGCUGUAGGACGCUCCACAGUCGUUGCAGGGGCCAUCUCGACCACAACACAAGAUAGCUCAUGUUUCAACUGGAGGUACACUCCCGAUCAACCUCGUGCUCCAAGGGGUAGGAAGAAGUAGGUGUCACAGUCGAUAGCCUCUUUAGUUGUGAUCUUGUGAACCUAUGAACCUAUAUUUUGUGAACUUGUGAACCUAUAUUCUGUGAACUUUGUGAAUGGAUGUGUGAUGGAUGGAUGGAUGUGUGUUGGAUGGAUGUGUGCUGGAUGUGUGUUGCCUAUGUGUGUUGUGGAUAUAUAGAUGGAUGGAUGGAUGUGUUCUGUGCUUGCUACUUGCGGCUUGUAAACUUGUGAAUGGAUGGAUGGAUGUGUAUGUUGGCUGUGUGUGGAUGUGAACUUGUGAAUAGAUGGAUGCUUGUGAACUUGUUAAUGAACCGGCUUGUGAA